UCUAGUAAGUAAAGGAUUAAGUUCAAUUACUUCUAUCACAAAACCUUCAACGUAUUACUCCAAUUUAUCUAUGUAUGUAUGUACAUAUGUACAUACAUAUAUGCAUACAUAUAUUCGGAAUCGAAGGUUACAUACUACACAUAUGCAAUUGAAGAAAUCUAGGAUGAAUUAAGCCGUAUACCAUAGGUCGGCACUCAUAUAUUUACCAUAUAUUGCCAACCACUGUCCCGUGUACGUCAGCGUUAGCAUCAUAACACUUUCCUAUGCACUGUGAAUAGGAUGCUGCCGACCUCUGCCCUACCAUUCCGAUCCCAGCAUUAACCCAUCGUCAUUGCACGGACUGUACCCAAGUGAAGUGGGACUUGGACUGGAGCUUGGAAUCGCGAGAAGGGGGAGUUAUUAAGAGCCUAGCCAAAAAUUAACUGAAAAGGGGGUUGAAUUCUGACACUUGUUGUUUCGGUAGACCCCUAUGCACAGUACAUAUACCCUUUUCCACCAUUUUAGAGACUGAUAGGCCCACCAAACAUUCAAAAAUUACCCUUAAAAUGCAAGCUUUCUGAAGAUAUUUAAAUGGGAUGAUGGGCACCCCUACGCUCAUUAAGGGUGAUGGCCUCGGCUCAGUUUUCGCUAGGGAUAAGGUCCAGACUGCGCCUAUUGAGAAAGUAUGCUGGGGCUUUACACCCUUUACUGGUCGGGCUUACGGAUAUUUUUCCAGUCGAAUCUAGAAAUUUAACUGUGUUGCAUAUCGAAUUUCCAAUCAAAUUGAAUUUAUUUGCCCAAGCAAUAUAGUUUUAUUCCUUGGUACCAUCUCAAGUCGCACCUUGAAAAACAUUCGGUAUGGCUAACAGAUCCCACAAAGUAUUCGUUCAGCAAGAGUAGUCAAUAUGAGUGCUCUUGAAUGCUCUUUCCACCAAGACUUGUGUAGCUGGCACACAAUGCAAAAUGUUCGCCAGUUGAUUUUUUUUUCUCCCAAUAUUUUAUUUCCAUUUAUCCAUUUAUUUCGGUGCCAAUUUCUGCUCGGGAUUGUCAUCGUCAUCCGAAUCUUCACCUCUACAAUUGACAUCAAUCGACUAAAGAUAAUCGUUAAAAAAGUUUAAGCGAUCAGACGCUUUGAGUCGAAUUCUCUUCCUUAUCUAUCUUGCUCUACUGUACUACUACUCAUUAAAACCCUAAGAACAACCUCAUUUGUUGUAAGUAAUUCUUCCCGAAUUCUAGGUAUUUGGCAAGUUCUUAACUAUGAUUAUUUUUCACGGCUUGAAUUGGUAACUUAAAUAAUAAAGUAUAAUUUAUAAUUGUUUAUGCAUUUUGUUAAAAUACCUAAAUGUUAGAGUUCGCCAUGUUUUUAAAACAUUUCGUGCGCUGUUGACAAUUAAUUUUCGUCCUUUGUCUUUCAAAAAGCUUUUAACUGCUAGCUAUACGGAAUGAACAUUUGAUAGAUGCGAUCGACUUGAUGUUUACUGCAUCUAGUUACUACUGCAUUCAUGUUCAGGCCGUUAAAAUUUUGCUCGGUUAUAUUUUGAAAUGCACUGAAACUAAGAGACUAAAUGGCACUUUUUCAUCGGUAACCUACUGCACACAUUUUUUACUUCGCUUGAUGAAAAAGCGAAUGCAAAUGUCUUCUUUUCUUGAAUUUGGCUACCACCAACUUCAUCUUUUGUAGCUUUAUAUGCUUCGGCAUGGCUUUCGCGCAAGUGCCUUUUGCAAGUUAGUAUAAUAGGAGUCCUGCAAGACCGUCGAGAAUCUCAAGCUCUUCACCAAAAGCCUCUUCGAGGAGUACCAUCAGCGUGCCAAAAAGAUAAAAGAGAUCAAGAGCAAGAGUUCCGGUUUAAACCUCAAGAACUCAAUAGAGGUUUAUGAAUAGUCGAAGCAGCUCAGCGCCGUGCUAAAUAAUCUGAAUGUGCACAAAUUGAAAAAUCCCCACAAGGUCAAGCAGGCCGUGGAUGACUGGAAUGGGCAAUUCAUCGCGAUGGAGAAUAAAGUGCGGACCAUCGAGACGAGCUGGAACCUCCAACUAGACCACAAAUAAUGAAUCGACAACGAGAUGUUGCAAGCGCCAUUGUAGAUCCCAAAUACUAUUCUAAAAUACGAGUGUGCCGGACUCUGACCAGCAAACCUUUCGCCACUAUUUUCGCAACGGUGUAAGAUUAGAAUAAUUUUUUUGGAAAUAGCAUCAAACUUUGGGAUUUUCCAUCAAAAUUCACUGGCAGAACCACUUAAGAAAUACUCUAUUAAGCUUUUCAGAAUGCAAGUAUUUGACAUACAUACAUACAUAUGUAUGUACAUAUGUAUGUAUGUCCUUUAUGACAAAAAAAAAAUGCCACCUUUCGAUGGAUACAUGUAAUAGUUAUUUUAAUUAAAUUUGUAUUUUAAUUUUUGUAUUCUAGUUAAUUUUUAUUUACAAUUAGUAUGCUAAAAAUUAGAAACAUGACGUUUAUAACGAUUGUUGGUAACGAAUAUUGGUAAUAUAAGUUCAUCGUAUUAAAGGAGACCUAUUGCAAAAAUAGCCGUAUUUUUUAACACAUAACUAUUUUUGUGCCCUCUGGAUAUAAUAAUAAUGGAUGCUAUAAUACGAUUUAUCAGACCUACCAGUUACAGUCACAUCUGCAAAAGAUGAAAUAACUUUUAGCAAAUUAAAAAUUAUAAAAAACUUUUUAGGAAACAAGGCCAAGAA